AAGGAGUUAGUUAAAAUAAAUAUAACAUUAGAGUGUCAAUCUAAAAUUACUAAUCAAUUAGUACACCUUG
rnacentral:tRNA from 1 species